GUUGGUGCAAAAGUAAUUGCGGUUUUUGCCAUUGAAAGUAAUGGUAAAAACUGCAAUUAGUUUUGCACCAA
rnacentral:miRNA from 1 species